UACGGGGGGGGCAAGCGUUGUUCGGAAUUACUGGGCGUAAAGGGCUCGUAGGCGGCCAACUAAGUCCGACGUGAAAUCCCCAGGCUUAACCUGGGAACUGCGUCGGAUACUGGAUGGCUUGAAUCCGGGAGAGGGAUGCGGAAUUCCAGGUGUAGCGGUGAAAUGCGUAGAUAUCUGGAGGAACACCGGUGGCGAAGGCGGCAUCCUGGGCCGGCAUUGACGCUGAGGAGCGAAAGCCAGGGGAGCAAACGGG
rnacentral:rRNA from 1 species